UAUGUACUCCCUCCGUCCGGAAAUACUUUUCAUCAUUAUGAAUAAAAGGAAAUGUAUCUAGAUGUAUAUUAGUUCUAGAUACAUCCUUUUUUAUCCAUUUUGAGGACAAGUAUUUUCGGACGGAGGGAGUAACUA
rfam:Triticum aestivum genome assembly, contig: Triticum_aestivum_CS42_TGACv1_scaffold_129299_2BL